AGAGCAUCCUUUUAAAGGGAGCUUUUUUUUUUUUUUUUUACAAGUAGCUGAAUUUAAUGACAGCUGUCUUCCUGAUAUUGUUUUGUAUAGUAAGGAGUCUCUUGGGAGUUAUCCAGAAACCAAGUCAGGAAAAGACAAUAUUGAGGAACAAAAUAAAAGCCUUCCUGGACUCACUUACCUAGAGACACAACCAGAAGCGAAAGAAUCAGAAGGAGCGGAUUUCCAAGGCCCGCCACGAGACUGGAGUCUGAGUCUUCCGGUCCAGGAGGGAACCGCGCUCGGCCCCGCAGUCUCCUCCCCUGCCUACUACCCUCCCC